rnacentral:lncRNA from 1 species
GGUUGCCAACGCUCUGAAUAAUAAAUAAUGGAAUCCUCAUUUGCAGGGUCGGGUUCUUUUUUUUUUUUUUUUUUUUUUAAGGUGGGACGAUUCUGUUUUUCAUGGGAUAAUACUGCCGGCUUGAGACAUAUUCAGGGAUUACUCCGGUCAAUGUCGAUCUUCUAUUCUACUCAAAGUGUACUAACAAACCUCAUCAUUUUUUGAGCACAUACACUCGUAGUUACAGUUUUUAGUGUAAAAUGUAACUACACGAAUAUAAAUUCAAGAUGAGUAUAUUAUAUAUAUAUAAAGAGUUUCGAUAGGAAACUUGCAUACGAAGGAUUCUGAUAUAUUCAUCUGCAUCCCCCCAUCCUUUCUGAUCCUCUCUUCAACUUCAUGUUAAGUGGAUCUCGCUUCUUAGUCUAUGUGCCUCACACGGUGGAUAUCAUCUUAUUUAAUGGAAGAAUCCUACAUUGUGCAUAUACGCUUCACUUCGAGAUCUUUUACGAAAUCCUCGUAUACUUCUACAUAUAGUAACUAUGGAUUUCCAUAAAACGACAGAAUAAUCGACUGAAAGAUCUAGUGAGGAACAUGGAUAGCUCUCAUCCUCCAUCCACGGCUCCUUAAUUGAAGUUCUUGAGUACUUUUCUCCUUAAGCCAACUCUGCUUCAUGUUAUACUCUAAGGAAACUAUAUGGAUAGCUAUAUAACCUGGACACUUUAAGCCUCAUCCCUGAUUAGUGAUUUCUUUAUUACUUGUGAGCCCCUUUUGUGAUUAGAAAACAAGUGGAAGAUUAUUGUAGACUUUAAAGAUAAUGUGCUUCUCUUUUCUUAAUAGUUUUGUCUGCAAUGCAUAUUUUAUAUUCUUCUAUCACUUAUAAAUAGUUAUUUGGAACUAAUGAGUGAUUAUGUAUUAAAAAAAUAUAAGUGACUUCUUAAUUUCUGUAGAUUUUAUUGGAAUAUUUGAUUGUCAUUGCAAUUUCCACACUUAUUGACUCAGAAAUCCUCUUCAUACUUCCAAUAUGCUUGUUAGCAUAUUGGAAUAUUACUCUCUCUCAAAUCUGGGAUAUUUACAACAAUAAAUUAAUUAAUAAUUGUG